GACGUCGAAUAUCGACGUCAUAAACACCAAACUUGAUCGUGUUUAUGACGUCGAAUAUCGACGUAAUAAAGACCAAAGUUAAUCGUGUUUAUGAUGUCGAAUAUCGACGUCAUAAACACCAAAGUUAAUCGUGUUUAUGACGUCGAAUAUCGACGUAAUAAACACCAAAGUUAAUCGUGUUUAUGACGUCGAAUAUCGACGUCAUAAACACCAAAGUUGAUCGUGUUUAUGACGUCGAAUAUCGACGUC
rnacentral:miRNA from 1 species